rnacentral:rRNA from 1 species
ACUCAAAUGAAUAGACGGGGGCCCGCACAAGCAGCGGAGCGUGUGGUUUAAUUCGAUGCUACACGAAGAACCUUACCAGGGUUUGACAUACACAUGGUAGAGACGCGAAAGCGAAUUGACCCUUCGGGGAGUGUGAACAGGUGUUGCAUGGCUGUCGUCAGCUCGUGUCGUGAGAUGUUCGGUUAAGUCCGCUAACGAGCGCAACCCACAUUGCGUGUUACAAGUGUCACGCGACACUGCCGGUCUUAAGCCGGAGGAAGGUGUGGACGACGUCAAGUCAGCAUGACCUAUAUAUCCUGGGCUACACACACGCUACAAUGGCCGGUACAACGGGUAGCGAAGCCGCGAGGCGGAGCCAAUCCAGAAAGCCGGUCUCAGUUCAGAUUACAGGCUGCAACCCGCCUGUAUGAAGAUGGAGUUGCUAGUAACCGCAGGUCAGCUAUACUGCGGUGAAUACGUUCCCGGGCCUUGUACACACCGCCCGU